rnacentral:rRNA from 1 species
GUCUAAGGCCAUACCACAAUGAACAUGCCAAAUCUUAUCUGAUCUUGGAAGUUAAGAACAGUCAGGCCUGUAUAAUAAUUACAUGGGAGGUUUUGAUC